GAUAAUUUUUGGUAUUUAAAAAUUACAAUGAUAGUUGUGUGCACAAAGUCUAAAAAUUAAAAUCCAGAUAGGUUACAAAAAUAUAAAAGAAAAGAUGACAAACAGUAUUGAACAUGCUGAAUGUGCAUGAGUUUAUAAAAUUAGACUUGCUUUAUGCUGGUUCAUAUAAGUAAAUGGGAAUAUUUUAAGUAUUGAUAUUUUUUACGUGUAGGUUAUUGCCCUUGACAGCAGGAAUGGAUUGCAUUCCAAUGUAUUUUUUUUUAAAUUAUUAAAUAUAAGAAUUUCAUAAUAUAUGUGUUUCAUCAAUAAAAUUAGAAAAAUUAAAAAAGCAAAUUUUUUGUCUUGAGAUUAUUUUAUAAUCAUCACUUAGUUGAAAGUAAGAUUUGGACAGAGAACUUCUCAAUGCUGAUCCUCAUUCUCGGUGAAGAAAUAUAAUGUUGACAUAUGUAAGAAAUUUCACUUCAUACAUUUAAAUUUACUGGUUCAUUUUAUAAAGGCAUAUUGUAUAAACAUAGUUAAUGUUGCUGGGCUUCCAAAAUGUUUUAAAUUACUUAUUUUUCAACAACAAAAAUAUGUCAUAAACAGACUUUAAGAAUUUGGUGGAAAUGAAAGCUAGUAAAAUGUUAAAUGUGAAAUUGAA
rnacentral:lncRNA from 1 species